ACAUGCAAGUCGAGCGGUAACACAGAGAGCUUGCUCUCGGGUGACGAGCGGCGGACGGGUGAGUAAUGUCUGGGAAACUGCCUGAUGGAGGGGGAUAACUACUGGAAACGGUAGCUAAUACCGCAUAACGUCGCAAGACCAAAGUGGGGGACCUUCGGGCCUCAUGCCAUCAGAUGUGCCCAGAUGGGAUUAGCUAGUAGGUGGGGUAAUGGCUCACCUAGGCGACGAUCCCUAGCUGGUCUGAGAGGAUGACCAGCCACACUGGAACUGAGACACGGUCCAGACUCCUACGGGAGGCAGCAGUGGGGAAUAUUGCACAAUGGGCGCAAGCCUGAUGCAGCCAUGCCGCGUGUAUGAAGAAGGCCUUCGGGUUGUAAAGUACUUUCAGCGAGGAGGAAGGCGUUAAGGUUAAUAACCUUGGUGAUUGACGUUACUCGCAGAAGAAGCACCGGCUAACUCCGUGCCAGCAGCCGCGGUAAUACGGAGGGUGCAAGCGUUAAUCGGAAUUACUGGGCGUAAAGCGCACGCAGGCGGUCUGUCAAGUCGGAUGUGAAAUCCCCGGGCUCAACCUGGGAACUGCAUUCGAAACUGGCAGGCUAGAGUCUUGUAGAGGGG
rnacentral:rRNA from 1 species